UUCUUUUUCUGAGUUCUUGGAUCAUCUUUACAAUCAUUACUAUAAACACUUUUUCAGGUAGAUUGCCUAUCUCCACAUCACUUAAUUGUUGUGUUUUAUCUUGUUCCUUCAUCUGGAACAUACUCCUCUACCGUCUCAUUUUGUCUAAAUGUAUGUGGGAGUUAUGUUUCCCCACCUUGGAAAAGUGGCCCUCUGUAGGGGAUGUCCUAUGUGUCCCACCAGUGCACUCCCCUCUCAUCACCUAAUGGCCAGAGAUCUUGUGGUCCCAGGGUAGGUUUUGACUUGUUUGCUGACUCAGUUCCAUAGGCUGUGGGACCAUAUAUUUCUUGUUCCUGAUGUCUGCUCCCUGGUGGGUGAGGCUGACCUAGAGGUUUGUGCUGGCUUCCUGGUGGGAAGAGCCACUGCCUGCCCACUGAUGGGUAAGAUUGGGUCUUGGCCCCAUGGUGGACAGGGUCAUGUCAAGAGGUGUGUCCAAAAGUGACUGUGGGCUCAGGAAAUUUUUAGGCAGCCUUCGGCUGAGGCCAGGUCUUGGUGCUACUGUCUGAAGCAAGUUGUCACCCUUCAGAUGAGCACUCCUGAAUACAUUUACUACCAGUUUUUUUGUUUGUUUGUUUCAGCUGUACCCAAGGCACAUGGAAGUCCCCAGGCAAGGGAUGGAACCAAGUGGAGACUUUGAUUCUCCUAGUCCUGUGGAGCUCCUGUGGUCAAGUGCUGCUGGCCCUCAGAGCUUUUAGGCCAGACUCCCAGGCUGGGGAGCCUGACGUGAGGCUCAGAACUGUCACUCCUGUGGAUGAACGUCUCUGAUAAAAUUAUUCUCCAGUUUGUGAGGUGCCCACCUUGGGGGUAUGGGAUUUGAUAUACUGUGAGUGUGCUCCUCCUACUGUCUUGUGAUUUCUUCUUUGUCUUUGGAUACAGAAUGUCAUUUUUGGUAAGUUCUAGUCUUUUUUUUGUUGUUGGGUUUUUUUUUUUUUGUCUUUUUGCCAUUUCUUGGGCUGCUCCCGCAGCAUGUGGGAGUUUCCCAGGCUAGGGGUCUAAUCGGAGCUGUAGCUACCAGCCUAUGCCAGAGCCACAGCAAUGUGGGAUCCGAGCCGCGUCUGCAACCUACACCACAGCUCAUGGCAACGCCGGAUCAUCAACCCACUGAGCAAGGGCAGGGAUUGAACCCGCAACCUCAUGGUUCCUAGUCGGAUUCGUUAACCACUGCACCAUGACGGGAACUCCCUUUAAUUAGUCUUUUUUAAGGGCCACUACCACAGCAUAUGAAGGGUCCCAGGCUAGGGGUUGAAUCUGAGCCAUAGCUGCCAGCCUACACCACAGCAAUGCCAGAUCUGAGCUAUGUCCGUGACCUAUGCUGCAGCCUGUGGCAAUGAUGGAAACUAACCCACUGAGUGAGGCUAGGUAUCGAAACUGCAUCCUCACGUAUACUAGUUGGAUUCUUGAACCACAACAGGAACUCUGAUAGUUCCCAGUUUUUUUAAUUGGUAGCUGUUUUACAGUUAUUUGUGAUUUUGGUGUUCUCAGGGAAGGAAGUGAGCUCAAGAUCUUCUAUUUUGCCCUUUCGACCAUAGCCUUCCUUGGCCAGAAGCAAGAUAGGUUGAAGAGUCCACAGAGUAUCACAGCAGAAACUACCUGUUCCAUUCAGUAUCUCACUGUUUAUCACAGAAGACACUCAAACUGACCAAAAUUAAAGGCAAAGAGAAAAUACUGAAAACAGCUAGGGAGGAGAAAUAACAUACAAGGGAACCCUGAUAAGGUUACCGGCAGAUUUUUCAGCAGAAACUCUGCAGGCCAGAAGGGAGUGGCAUGAUAUACUUAAUGUGAGAAAGGGGAAAAAAAUCUCCAACCAAGAUCACUUUACCCAGCAAGGCUCUCAUUCAGAUUCGGAGACAUCAAAAGCUUUACAGAUAAGCAAAAGUUAAGAGAAUUCAGCAUCACUAAACCAGCUUUACAACAAAUACUAAACAAACUUCUCUAGGCAGAAAAGAAAAGGCAACAACUAGAAACAAAAAUACCACAAAUGACACGGCUCACCAGUAAAGGCAUACAUAUACAGUAAAGGAAGGAAAACAUCCACACACAAAUAUGCUACCGAAAUCAGAAAUUGUGAGAAGUGGAGGGUACAAAUGCAGGACACUGGAGAUGCACUUGCAAUUAAGAGAUCUACAAUGUAAAACAAUCUUGAUAUAUACAGAUGCCUAUAUCAAAACUUCAGGGUAUCUGCAAAACAAAAACCUACAAUUGAUACACAUACAAAUAAGAAGAAUCAACUCAAAUACAACACUAAAGAUAGUUAUCAAACCACAAGAGAAGAGAACAAGAAAAAGACCAAAAAAAACAAACCCAAAAGCAAUUAAUAAAAUGGCAAUAAGAACAUACAUAUCAAUAAUUACCUUAAAUGUUAAUGGGCUAAAUGCCCCUCCUCAUCAAAAGACAUGGACUGAUUAAAUGGAUACAAAAACAAGAACCAUAUAUAUGCUGUCUUCAAGAGACCAAAUCCAGUUCUAGGGACAUACAGACAAAGUGAGAGGAUGGAAGAAAAUAUUCCAUGCAAACGGAAAUCAAAAGAAAGCUGGAGUAGCAAUACUCAGACAAAACAGAUCUCAAAACUAAAAAUAUUAUAAAAAACAAGGAAGGACAUUACACAAUGAUCAAAGGAUCAAUCCAAGAAGAUAUAACAAUUGUAAAUACAUAUGCACCCAACACAGGAUCACCUCUCUCUCUCUCUCUCCCUCCCCCCCCAUAUAUAUAUAUACACACACACAUACAAGGUAACUGCUAACAACCUUAAAAGGAGAAACUGACAAGAACACGAUAACAGUGAGGGACUUUAACACCCCACUUACAACAAUGGACAGAUCAUCCAGUAAGAAAAUCAACAAGGAAACACAGGCCCUGAAUGAAGCAUUAGACCAAAUGGACUUAACAGAUAUUUAUAGGACAUUCCAUCUAAAAGCAACAGAAUACACAUUCUUCUCAAGUGAACAUGGAACAUUCUCUAGGACUGAUCACAUUCUGGGCCACAAAUCAAGCCUCAGAAACUUUUUUUUUUUUGGUCUUUUUGUCUUUCCUAGGGCUGCACCCACAGCAUAUGGAGGUCCCCAGGCUGGGGUCCAGUUGGAGCUGUAGCUGCCAGCCUACACCAGAGCCACAGCAACUCAGGAUCCGAGCCGCGUCUGCAACCUACACCACAGCUCAUGGCAACGCCAGAUCCUUAAUCCACUGAGCAAGGCCAAGGAUCGAACCUGCAACCUCAUGGUUCAUAGUUGGAUUCAGUAACCACUGAGCCACGAUGGGAACUCCAAGCCUCAGAAAUUCUAAGAAAACUGAAAUCGUAUCAAGCAUCUUUUCCAUCCUCAAUGCUGUACAAACACGUGGAGACUAAACAAACGACUAAACAACCAAUGGAUCACUGAAGAAAUGAAAAGAGGAAAUUACAAAAUACCUAGCAGCAAACGAAAACAAAGACACAACACUCCAAAACCUAUGGGAUGCAGCAAAAGCAGUUCUAACAGGCAAGCUUACAGCAAUGCAAACCUACCUCAGGAAACAAGAAAAAGCUCGAAUAAACAAGCUAACUUUACAUCUAAAGCAGCUAGAGAGAGAAGAACAGACACAACCUAAAAUUAGCACAGAGGGAAAUAAAUCAUAAAGAUCAGAGCAGGAAUAAAUGAAAUAAAACAGAGAUAACCAGAGUAAAGAUCAAUGAAACAAAAAGCUGAUUCUUUGAAAAGAUCAACAAAAUUGAUAAACCUUUAGCCAGACUU
rnacentral:lncRNA from 1 species